rnacentral:rRNA from 1 species
AACGAACGCUGGCGGCAUGCCUAACACAUGCAAGUCGAACGAGGCCUUCGGGCUUAGUGGCGCACGGGUGCGUAACACGUGGGAAUCUGCCCUUAGGUACGGAAUAACAGUUAGACAUGACUGCUAAUACCGUAUGAUGACUCCGGUCCAAAGAUUUAUCGCCUAAGGAUGAGCCCGCGUCGGAUUAGCUAGUUGGUGAGGUAAAGGCUCACCAAGGCGACGAUCCGUAGCUGGUCUGAGAGGAUGAUCAGCCACACUGGGACUGAGACACGGCCCAGACUCCUACGGGAGGCAGCAGUGGGGAAUAUUGGACAAUGGGCGAAAGCCCGAUCCAGCAAUGCCGCGUGAGUGAAGAAGGCCUUAGGGUUGUAAAGCUCUUUUACCCGGGAUGAUAAUGACAGUACCGGGAGAAUAAGCUCCGGCUAACUCCGUGCCAGCCGCCGCCGUAAAAC